rnacentral:rRNA from 1 species
UACGUAGGGUGCUAACGUUGUUCGGAAUCACUGGGCGUAAAGCGCACGUAGGCGGAUCUUUAAGUCAGGGGUGAAAUCCCAAGGCUCAACCUUGGAACUGCCUUUGAUACUGGGGAUCUCGAGUCCGGAAGAGGUGAGUGGAACUGCGAGUGUAGAGGUGAAAUUCGUAGAUAUUCGCAAGAACACCAGUGGCGAAGGCGGCUCACUGGUCCGGAACUGACGCUGAGGUGCGAAAGCGUGGGGAGCAAACAGG